rnacentral:rRNA from 1 species
UACGUAGGGGGCAAGCGUUGUCCGGAUUUAUUGGGCGUAAAGAGCUCGUAGGCGGUUCGGCAAGUCGGGUGUGAAACCCCCAGCUCAACCUGGGGACGCCACCCGAUACUGCUGUGACUUGAGUCCGGUAGGGGAGCGUGGAAUUCCUGGUGUAGCGGUGAAAUGCGCAGAUAUCAGGAGGAACACCAGCGGCGAAGGCGGCGCUCUGGGCCGGAACUGACGCUGAGGGCAGCGAAAGCGUGGGUAGCAAACAG